rnacentral:lncRNA from 1 species
GGGGCUUUGUGGAACUUGGGGGACCCAGCGAAAUGGAAGAAGUUAGGUGUCCAGAGCACGGGACUUUCUGCUUUCUUAAGACCGGCGUCCGCGAUGGCCCGAAUAAAGGAAAGAGCUUCUACGUGUGCCGGGCAGACACGUGCACCUUCGUGCUGGCCACCGACAUUCCUGUUUCCCAUUGCUUAUUGCAUGAGGACUUUGUGGUAGAGCUUCAGGGUUUGCUUCUGCCACAGGACAAGAAAGAAUACAGAUUGUUCUUCCGAUGCAUUAGAAGUAAGGCAG